GGUAGAAAAGCUUCCUCCCUCCUUGCUGCCCCCUCAGGGCUCUGAGUGCUCUCUCUGCAGGUGUCUGAAGGCCAGGAUGGUCUCCCCAUGGCAGCUCCUCUGGCUGCUGGUGCUCUGGGCUCAGGAUUCCCGAGGAGCCAUUGUGCUGACCCAGUCUCCAGCCUCCUUGUCUGGAUCUCCAGGAGAGAGAGUCACCAUCAGCUGCAAGGCCAGUCAGAGUGUGACAGAUAGUGAUGGUGAUAGCUGGUUAAAUUGGUACCAGCAGAAACCUGGCCAGGCCCCCAGGCUCCUCAUCUCCUAUGCUAACAGCCUGGCACCUGGAGUGCCUGCCCGCUUCAGUGGCAGUGGGUCUGGGACAGAUUUCACUCUCACCAUCAGCAGCUUGGAGCCCGAGGAUGCUGGAGAUUAUUACUGUCAGCAGUAUGAUAGUUACCCUCUCCCACAGUGCUUCAGGCCUGAACAAAAACCUCCCCAGGCUGUUCAGGGGAUUCAGCUCAGAGCAGCAGCUGCUUCCUCUCUGGUCCCCAGGGCAGAGCAGCCCCUGCCCUCUGGGCUGGCUCACAUCUCCCAGGGCUUCCCCUUCCUGGCCCCUCAGGUCCCCUCCUUUCUCACAAGGCCUUGA